GCAGCUGGGGACAGAAUAAAGCAGCAGCUUCCUCACAUAACUCAGCUGCAGCCAGAGAGAGACAUGACUGCAGUGUGAACCUUUAAUCUCAUGAACACUGCUCCUAUCUUUUCCAUGAGCAAAGUUGUGUAUAAAUGGAUAUUUUUAAGAAGACGACGGGAGUAGAUAAUAGUUUUCUGCAAGCUGAAAAAGUAGUUAUCUAACUUCCCACAGCCACACAGAAAUAAAAUUCUUAAAUCUCCCUCCAAUGCCACCAUGAAUAGAUCAAAAUAGGGAAAAGUAAUGAAAAUACAGAGAGCAAUCAGCCACUAUUGUGAGCAUGAAUUUUAUAAUCCUUUCAGAAAUAUUAUAUGCAACAUAAUUUUAGACAGAAUAGCAUUUCUCAUUCUUUUUCUGUCCAGGAAAUUAUCUUCCAAAGUGUCUGACCAAGAGCACUGGCUGACAGUAGGAAGGGAAAUGGAUUCAAAAUGAAUUUAGUUGAUAUGUUUGUGCUGUUCCUUUGGAAGAAAUUCAGUGUUAAUGACAUUAUUCAUUCUGAGAAAUUGAAUAAAAUGCAUCAGGACAACAGUGAAAUUGAAAUCUGCAGUGCUAAUGCAGUCAUCACCCUGAAGUCCUUUCCAGUUCCUUAUGGCCCCAAAGCUCCUAAAAUUGUUCUAUUUGCUUCAUCAGCAAACUGUUGGCCUGUGCAUCUGCUGUGAAUAUUUUACACAUCCUAGGAAGGAUUCUGGCCCUUGGCAUCCAGCUCACUUACUUCCCAGGAAGUCAAGUAAUUUGGGAUACAUUUAUCAGCCUCAAGACAAGCUGGGGAACAUCCAGCUGGGGAGAGAUGAUGACUUGGCCUCCUAGCAGUCCCUACCCAAACCACCGUCUGCAAUGUGUAACCAACCGUGCUUUUACUGAGUGAACACCAGAAGUGGCACUCCUAUUUUACUGAACAAAGACUCUGCCUUCAUUAGCUCUCGUUGUGAUUUGAUUUAUUGAUGAGGACAAGAGAAUGUCUUCCAAGGACAACACAGAAAAGUUUGGAGAAGCCACAGCAGCAGCAGUGUUCAACAGGGCAGAGACCACAGCGCUCCUGUGGCAACACUCUGUGGCUACAGGGCAAUAUCUGAUCAUUUGAUAAUCCUUGAGCAUCCUGAAAAGCAAAGCAACUUUACCUCAUUCAAAGCAAGGGUGGAUUUGAUGAAGACGAUAUAAUCAGAAGGCCCAUCUGUCCAUGCAUUUUGAAUCAUUGAAUCAUUCCUUUGAGGAAGAAAGUAAUGACAGUUUCAUAAGGAUAAGUUUCUAUUGUUUGACCAUCCCAUACCACAAAAACCUUUGUUGUGAUCUACUGAGCUAUUUGGAGCCUUUGCAAAGAUGAAGAAAUGAGUCGUUAUAUUCUUUGGGCCAUGGUAACAAAAUCUUAUCCUCAAAAUAAAAUUAUAGAGAAUGUCCUCACUCCUUUUUCUGUGCUAGUGUCUUGUGUCUCUUUCCUUGUGCAGAUUUUAUUUUUGAAGCAGCAGUUUUUUAAAUGUACCUAUUUUAUGCUUUCCCAGAUCAAAGCCGAACAUGGCUCUAGUAUCCCAUAGUUGCUGAAUUCCUUGCAGGAAAGAGGACAACAUCCAAUCUGCCUGGUUCAUAAAGUGUUGUUAGUUAUUUGUCUCUAUCUGAACAUGUGCUUUCCACUUGCAAAAAGGUUCUUGAAUCCUGAGAGGUUAUUAAAUCAAACACAUUUUUUUUAAUUUUAAAAAGCAAGUUGUUUUGUUUUUUAUACAUUUAUCUUUCCUUUUUUUUUUUUUUUAAAAUAUUUGCCACCUAAUCAAGUCUCAGAAAAAUGUGUGAGCAACCAACAUAAUAAAAUGCACACAGACUUGUGAAUGUGGCUUGACCCCAAGUCCAAUGUACAAUAAAUUCCAUUAAUCCCAGAUUAAGUAUGUGACAGACUGUUUUUGUAGUACAUCUUCUGUGAAGCAGCUACCAAGGGAUUCAGAGCUUGGAAAUUACUUAAAAGUGCAUCUGCUUGGCAAAUUCUUAUGAAUAAUAAACACAACAUAGUUGUAGGGUGUCACAACCAAUUGUAAGCUAUUUCCUAACAAAACAAGAGAAGAGUUUUGCAAUAAAGUUCUAUUCACAGAAA